CUGAAAUAUACAUAAUCACAAAAUGUCAGAAAUAUACACGUAGACGUCAAAUAUAUAAAUACCGUAUAUACUAGAGUAUAAGUCGAGACCCCUAAUUUUUCCCCAAAAAACUGGGAAAACUUAUUUACUCGAGUAUAAGACUAGGGUGGGAAAUGCAGCAGCUACUGGUAAAUUUCUAAAUAAAAUUAGAUCCCCCCCCAAAAAAA